rnacentral:rRNA from 1 species
UACGGAGGGGGCUAGCGUUGCUCGGAAUCACUGGGCGUAAAGCGCGCGUAGGCGGAUUGCUAAGUCAGGGGUGAAAUCCUGGAGCUCAACUCCAGAACUGCCUUUGAUACUGGCGACCUUGAGUCCGGGAGAGGUGAGUGGAACUGCGAGUGUAGAGGUGAAAUUCGUAGAGAUCAGCAGGAAUACCCGUGGCGAAGGCGGCCCCCUGGGCCCUACCUGACGCUGAGGCGCGAAGGCGAGGGGAGCGAACGGG